CUAGUAUUAAGAUGUGGUGUUAAGGAGGAGGAAGAUACUUUGCUCCCUCCCCAACAUGCAUUUGAAAAUAUAAAUAAAAUCAGGAGACGCAGUUAUCUCUGGGCCUUCGCCGACCCUUCCCAACCCCGGGAUCACAUCUCAUUUCUAAAGGUUCUAUUAUACAAUAUAGUAGAAAAAGUAGGGGGUCAGAUUUCGAUGGGGUCAUUUUUCAACGUGAGUGGAGUCGUAGAAUUACCGGACUGGAAGGAUUUUCUACGGUUCAAAAAUAACCCUACUUGUCGGAAAAUAUUGACCCGGGGUCAUUUUUCUUCGUAGAAAUUUGAACAACCCCCCUGUCAAUAAUCUACAGGGGUCACUUUUCGUCGUUGCACCGGCAUUUAGAAGUGAAAAUCGCGGGUCUUUCGAAUAUGACCUUAAAAAAACGGGGAUUACAUGUCGCGUUGUCAAGAUAAAGAACUCUCACGUCAACGCAUGUGAGCGCUAACGAUAGGUCUAAAUUUGUACUUCACUUACAACUGGUGACGUCUCAAUAUGAGUGAUUUUUCGACAGGACGCAAAAUAAACGUCAAAAUGGCAAGCUAUUCACUACUGUUGUUAGAAAUAGUGUUUGGUGGUUACCCAAUAUAUAUUUGAUUUGCAUUACAAAAUAACAAAUAAUGGCCAUUGUAAAAAAGGUAAGGGACAGCCCCGGUCCCCAUGAGAUACAAAAAUUUUAGACCUUUAUAAUGUGUUUUUAGUUACGGAGGGAUAUGACCGGCGACGAUCCGAGUACCAGUACCAAAGAACGCAGUUUCAGCGAUUUGAUCACGUGUCUGCACGGCUCAGUGGGCGGUUUUGUCCGCAUGCAUGGUUACCCUACCAGAAGAGCUGUUAUUAUUUCAGUCGAGAUCGCCUAGAAUGGUACAGGGCACUGAUAAAGUGCAUCAAUUUGGGUGGAAGCUUGGUGUCGGUUGACACUGCACACGAGAAUACGUUUAUACGCCGACACUUGAUGACGUUCUACAUACAUCGAGGCGCUUGGAUGGGCCUUAACAAUCUCCUCUGUCCGGAGAAGGACGCCUGGUACUGGGGGGUCACGACUUCCGUGUGCAGAAGAUUUGACUGGUUUUCACAUGAACCAAUCCACACCAUCAACAUAGAGGGAAGUUGUGGACUCUUCUGGCAAAGUUUCAAUUACCACUGGCACAUAGACAGUUGUAAUCAGAAAAACUACUACGUUUGUGAAAUGAAACCGGAUAAACGGUGUACAUGCCACUUCUAAACCCAAAUACAUAUAGCACGAACAUUACCAACAGGGAUGUGACGUCAUACUGCUACACGAAACCCCUAACAUAGAAUGUGACGCCAUACCGCUACACGAAACCCACAAAUGUAUUCAGUACGGACAUUACCAACAGGGAUGUGACGUCAUACUGCUACACGAAACCAAAAAACAACUCUUUCAUUUAUUUUAUUUUUUUUCAAAAUAAAACAGAAUACCUGAAAUUCAGACAACUCCAUUAUUCAUAUUCUAAAUCACCAUGAAUUCACAAUUCAAUAAAGUUCUAGGUUUGUUGGUUUGAACAUUGGUACAUAAUUAUUGUUGUUGAAUACGUCUUCAGUCAUUAGGUACGUGUAUAAUGAUUAUGUGGGCGUCCCUUGCCUUUCAUGAGAUAGUACUAAAGACCUGGACUCCCUAUAGCGGCAAUAAUCGAACACAGGAAGCAUUGUUUGAAAAUUCAAUAAAGUUGAAUCUACAUUAUGUGACAGUCCUGCACAUUUUAUUUUGUUAAAUGACUGCUUUGUUUGUAAACCCAACCUAACGAGGACCGACCCGGAUUACGCCUCUACUGAAUAAAAACAACACGGGGAAGCUUUAAUACGUCAAACGUUCAGUUCUAACCGCUAAAAACAAAGAAAAAAAUACAACCCGAAUACACACAACACGUAAAAGCUUUAAUACGUCUUUUCUGCUCUAACAAAGAAAAAAAAAAAGGAAUCGAUUCGUUUCCCUUCCAGGAGCAGAUCAAAAAAUAUUCACAAAGGGGUUGUCUUAAAAUGGUAUAAAAAGGAAAAUACAGCCCAAAAUACCGUAUACAAGAUUACAUUUUUGGAAAGUAUAAUUCUCAAGUAAAAGGAGAGGGUGGUGGUUGUUGUUGUUUGCUUUACAAUCCCGAUCUCUCGCCAGAUGACGUAUCAUGCUACGCAAGGCGCCCUCUGGUAAUUCUAGUUUGUUACAAACCUUGAACAUUCACUUCAGCCCUAUAAAGCAACUUAAAAACCCUGUACAUACAUCCUAGCACGUAAAACAACUUACAAACUCUGUACAUUCUCC